AAACCUGUAAAUUGAGAAAAGCCAGUUCCAAGUUUACUCAGAAGACAAAUAUUUGGCCUGGGGGCGUUUUGCAAAAACCCUUUCGACAGUUUUCCAGUUGAAACUAGGCUGUAGAUGAAUGUAAAUAUAGUGCACAGUGUGGAAGUUUUGUUUAAUUGGUUUAUAAGAAUCCACCACUACAUUCCUACACUCUUGCCGUUUUAAGGAGGACCCCUGGAAACCACCAGUGCAUAAAGAAUGAUUUAAAUAAAACAUCUUUGUUGGUCUUCUGCUAUACGUUACAUAUACAAUGUCACAUUAUGCAUACAGUUACACUCCCAGCAUAUUAUAUAAAAUAUACAGAUGUGUGUUCAAUUUUACCCAUAAUAAACACAAUUUUUUAGUUAG